rnacentral:rRNA from 1 species
UACGUAGGGCGCAAGCGUUAUCCGGAAUUAUUGGGCGUAAAGAGCUCGUAGGCGGUUUGUCGCGUCUGCUGUGAAAGACCGGGGCUCAACUCCGGUUCUGCAGUGGGUACGGGCAGACUAGAGUGCAGUAGGGGAGACUGGAAUUCCUGGUGUAGCGGUGAAAUGCGCAGAUAUCAGGAGGAACACCGAUGGCGAAGGCAGGUCUCUGGGCUGUGACUGACGCUGAGGGGCGAAAGCAUGGGGAGCGAACAGG